GAGAUUGAAGAGCAUUGUUGCAAACAAUGGUGUCUACAAACCAAAAAAAGGGAAACAAUACAACCUCAAUGAGAAAUUAGCUUCAAAGCUGAUGGAGAGCAUUGAUGAGGAAUUUAGAAAGACCUUCCCAAAUGAAUCAAAAUGUGAACCAUUCAACGGGGCCAUCAGUUCCUUUUCACUCGUCACAGGGACUCUGGUUGAAAAGUACAGAAAGUACAAAGGUGUGCAGCUGCAACUGGAAUUUCUCAGGACAGAGGAAGAAAAAAUUAAGACAAAAGUCCACAAAACAAUCCGGGAGCAAAAGAAAGAAAUCUACAGCAGCCUGAUGACUUCAAUCGAGGAAAACA